AUAUUAUUUUACAUUCAUGCCACAAUUUAAGUUGGCUUACACCACUUUUAGGAAGUUAAGUGAAAACUCUUCAGACAUGGUGACCAAAGAUAAAAAAUAUAAUUUGUAUUAGUUUUAAAACACAGUUUAAGUUUUAAGAUAAUACAUAUAUAGAAAAUAAGCUAAACUACAGCAGUUAUUUGAUUAGCUUUAACCAUAUUUUACCCAAAAUGAAAAUGACUUCCUAAGGAAAGCUCUGAUCCUUCUCUAACUUAAGUUAAUGAGAGCAAGGAUUAGGUCAACAUCUAGAAAAAGAAAAAAAAAUCUGACUUUGUCAAAUUAAUUUGUUUUCUAAUAGAGAUAGCAUAUUAUGCUGUUUAUGGUGUCCACAUUUACAAACUCUGGAGUAUUUGCCUUUAAUUUCAUUCAAAAAUUAGAUACAAGAUUGGUAUGGCCUGUAUGAUGCUUCUGUUCAGCAAAAAGGCUGAACAAAGAUUAAAUGUUUUUCUUUCUCCAAUUUAGCAGAUGUUUGAAAGAUACUAAUAUGUUUAUCACUUAUGGGUUUGAGAUCUUCUUGUUUUAAAUAUAAGCUAUACGAUGCUCGAAACAAUGUUUUAUUUAACAGAUGAAGGGAAAUUAACACACAUUUUGUAUUUCCCUCAUGCAAAGCUGUUCAUGCACUGUGAUUCUUUUUCAUACCUAGGAAAAGUAUAGACUUGAAUUAUGCAUUUGUAAAAAGUUAUUCUGAGCACACAAAUCACAACCAUAGCAAUCAAUAGUUCUUGCCAUCCUUCAGUCUACUAAUCUUGACAAUAUUCCUUUAAAAUGUCAGCUUUAAAAAAAUGUAUGCACAGUCUCAUCUAACAGGGCUUAGGAUCCUAUCAUAAAAGCCAUUAAAUCGGAAAGACAAAACUAAAUUUUCCCUGGCCCCCCUCAAAAAAACCAACUAAUUACUCAAGAGUUAAUUCAUAGUCAAAAGCAGAGCAAGAGUCAAGUUUACUAAAAUAGCUUAGCUACCUCUUAUGCAAACGACAAGUUUUUUAAAAAAACCCUAUAAAUUUCAGUGUAUAAACAUAAAAUUCAGUGCCAGUUUAAACAGUUAUACAGGCAAAACUAUGUACACAAAGAAUUAAUUGGGGCUCACUUUACAGCUUUACAAAGCACUUUAAUGUCACUUUUUAAACAAACUAUCUCACUGGCUGUCAUCCUUUGCUUUACGAUUUCACCUUCAACAGACGUCAAGACAAUCGUGAAUUCCACUAUAUCUAUUUGAUUCUACCAAGGUUGUGGAUUCUACCUUGGGGAACUGAGGUAUCAUUGCAAACCGGGGCAGCGCAGCCAAUCCACACGCCGCUUUUAAAAGAGACUGAUCCGUCAGGUUGUAAUGACAGAGAUCUCCAUCGUAAUGGGGGAUUUUAAGCCAGUUUUGUACCUCCCAGAAGGAAGGCGCUUGAAAGAGACGAGAAAGCGCUGGGCGAUCUGUUCCUUUCACCUGCAGAGCACUUCGCAGCAGGAGACACGACCCUGCCGGAGAGUGGGGAGGAAAGCUCUUACCUUGGCCCGAUGUAAAUGAUUGGUACCUCGGAGGAGUAACCACAGUGUAUCUCUCUCUUUCAUUGAUAAAACCUGGCCUGCUGACAGGAAUUCCAGGCACAAGGACAGUACAAUAAAUUGAGUCCCCUUGUCCUCUUCCCUUGGAUGAAGCCACAAACUCCCCCCACCCAGAGAAAUCCUGACCACCACCCCUUACUCUGAGGACCCCCCCGGUUGGUCACAGUCCCAACCCCCACCUGCCUGGAGGUACUCCUCCCACCCUUCCCCUGUCUGCCCCCCAGCAGUCCUGUGCUUAGCUUGGCCCUUUCUCCUCUCUGAUUCACCCCAGCCCAGCUCUGCUCCCAAGCGGUCUGUGACCCCCUUUCUGCCCUUGGGUGCUUUGUCCUAGACAUAGCUGCCUAUCUCUGUCCCCACUCCUGUGCUCUUUUCCCUUCUCUGGCUGGGAGGUUCCAGACUUUCUCAGCCCAGUUCCUCUGCCCCUCUUGGCCCUCACUCCCAACAGCCCCAUGCCUGGCUCAGCCCCAGAGCUCAGCUCCAUCCUUUUCUUCUCAGUCCAGCUCUCCCUAUUCCCAACCCAGCUCUUCCCUCCCAGCUCACUCUCAUGGUUACAAAGCUGCACUGAUUGCUGCCAUAGCCAGGCUGGCUCCUCCCCCAGCUCUGUCUUCCCAGUGCAGCUGGGGGCUGCUGUUCCAACUCGCCCUCUGGCCGCCCAUGGCCCCUCCUGCCUUGGCACUGUCCAGCAGGGUGCACCACCAAAUGUGCACAGCCAUUCUGCAGCACGCAGCAGGCACUGGGACUUGGGAGCAUAUGCCUAGGAGUCCUGAAGUCCACCUAGGCAAUGUAAAAGGGCCUGGGUCUCACAGCAGCUGCUACUGCAGCUCUAGACAGAGGACACUGGGCACCUUUAAAUCUCUCAGGGCCCCUGGGCAAUUUCUCCUUUUGCUCCCACUCUCAUGGGACUGAACUUGGCCUUAAAGCCUUCCAGGGCCUGUGAACUAAGAGCAGCAUUGAGGGACUCCCUCUUUUCCCUUCCAAACCUGGUUCCUUUGACCCCCUUGCCUUUGCUCCCCCCCACCAGUCCUGUCCUCAUGUGCUCACUCAGUAAAAAUGCAGCCACAGACUCACAUUGGCUGGUGUGGGAAGGGAAAGGAAAGUUGGUGGUGGGGGACAGUGACUGGUCACUGCACAGACCCAGGGUUUUCCUCAUUGUCUGUAGACAUGCAGCCUGGAAGGGAGAGACAGAUUUAAACAGGAAAAUGCUGCCUCUGUUUAGCGCUCUGGCCCCCUCCGCCACAGUGCUGCUCCCCCCAGGUGGGGACUCAUAGUGGUAGGGAUCUCCGGAACUCUGCCCCCCACCCACACUGCUGCCACUCUGCAGACCUGAGUGGGGUUGACAGGGAGCUCCUCCCUCUCAAUCCUCGGCUCUGAAGUCCUGAACACAGGCUUUAAAGAGGCAAGGAACUCUGGACCCGCUCCUGCACUGCCACUCUGCAGAUCUGAGCUCAGGGGCUCUCCGCAGUGAUAGUUUAAAGAACUGGUUGAGGCCUGUAGCAGCAGGAGACUAAGGCCCCCAGUGCAACUGCCCCCUUUGUCCUUCUGCACCCCUCAAUCAGCAGGUCUGAUAUCUUAUGAUUAUCAUUUACACUAUGAUGCCUUAUACUCCUUGUGCUAAGGAGACAGGGGAAUGAUAGACAUGUCUGCCCAUCAAUUGGCUGAUCAUUAAAGACCUGAAUAGAGAUUAUCCGGAGAAAAGGAAAGAGUAAUGGCAGCCUAAUAAAGCUAAUACGGGGGCUGGAAUUCCGAGAAUAGAAAAUCCUCAAAGAGGGGAACAGAAAGGUCAGGUCUUAACACUGACACAUUUUCCAGUGUUGUCAACACAACAUGCAAGCUCUAAAUUCAAAUUAAAAAUAAUUUUAAACUAUUAGAGAAUAUUAGGAAUAUAUAAAUCAGAUCAACUGGGAAUAUAUAGAAAUGACAUCAGAACAUAUAUUUGUUUUCUUUUAUUUGCACAUAUUCUUAAAUACUUCUCUCUUCUACACUUUAGUUUUUCUCAUACUGUUAGAUGUAAUUCUUUAUCAUUUUUAGGAGUGAUGUUACUCGUCAGUCAUUAAUUUAGGGUUCUGGGACACAUACUAAAUCUUACUGGAUUUCUUUACAGUUAAUAUGUGAAAAGUUCUGAGAGUUCAGCACAUGGUUUUAGCACAAAAGCUACAUCCCUGUAAUGUAGUUUGCCCUAAAUUACUGGCAUAAACUCUCAGUCUUAAUUCCAUUUUAAUGUAGUUAUUGUCUGGGAAUAUUUGUGUAUGCAGUUGGUGUUCAUUAUUCAUCAUGUUACUAUCAGUAAGUCUAACCCACUUUGAGAAAGUCUUUCUAAACCUAAUACAUUCUUAAGUUAUUUUUAAAAAUGCUAAGCGCAUCAGGCCAGCGAAUACCCUCUGGAGGAGUAUUACAUUCAAGGAGCCACACUGCUCUCUGCUCUGGCCCCUAGCUCUUUGAAGGCAAUAUUUAGACAUGCAUGGAAAAGGUCAUUACUGCUACAGCACAGAACACGGAAAGAAGAGGAAAGACAAAGGAUUUGUGCCCAUGAUAUGCUGUAAAAAAAUCAUGUCUGAAGGUUCAUCGGCACUGACUAUGAAAGUUUGACAACAGGUAUAAUAUAUUCUGCUUUUUCAACUAAUAUUGCCCGAGGUGCUUCCUGAAUAACCUCAGAUCUGUAACCAGCAGCAUCUUGACAACUGUAAAGUAAGAUAUGAUAGGAGUCCAGAGAAGUGAUAAAAGCAUA